rnacentral:sRNA from 1 species
ACUUGCCGGUAUCGCGGUAGGAUGCGAACCGUCAUAGGUUCGACAGAUCUGCGUCAGCUGAUCUGAACGGUGCCAGCGGCACCGGCCCCGCAGGGGUGAAGCGCGGAGCGCGGAAUAAUCCUACCGCCCCAGCCA